rnacentral:lncRNA from 1 species
CCAAAGUAUUUUAAAUACGUUAUGUAAUUUUGACAAGAAUUUAUGAGCUGGUCACUACAGCAUAAAAAAGUUUUAUAAAGUUACUCUAAGUUAGUGCCGAGAUUAUAAGGGGAAGUCAAAUCCACUUUUUAAAGUCCUUUUAGCUUUCCCAGAUUUCAUCUGAACACUUUUAUGACAGGACAUCAUUCUCUAUAGCAUGAGCACUAAACUCAAAACUUUUCAAGUAGAGAGUCUGUUGUCUAUGGAGACCACAGGUGCUGUAUAUCAGACAAGCUGGAGCAGAGCCUUGUAACACAGUUUGUUCUUGCAAGAGGCAAGUUAAUGCAUGCUUUGAACAAGUUCACCUCCCAAAUGAUUUUUGCUUUUCAAGAAACCUUUUUAACAUUUUCACAGCACUCAUUCCCUCUAGUAAUCGAGUUUCUGGCAUUUUAUUUUCUUUUAUGCUCUUUCUCUUGGCAGAUGAACCAGGCUGCUGCUUUCUUCCUGUGACAUGAGUUCAAAGGGAAAAUCAAAGGAGUUCAAUUUGUUUUUUCUUAACCUAAUUUUCAACAUAUAAAGUAUAUUGAUGCUUGCUCACUACACACUGUUAACGUCUCCCAAAAUAUUCCUGUGCCAGUUCUAAUGGAGAAAAUUGGAAAUAAGGCAAUAACUUUAGGGUUUUACCUAAUUAGGGGGGAUGCAAGAUCUUGAUAGUGAAUCGUUUUUGUAAAUAAAGUUUUACUGAAACCCAGACACGCCCACUCACACCCAUGUUGUCUGUGGCUGCUUAUCCCUUACAACAGCAGAGUUGAAAAGUGACAAUAUGUUUACUAUCUGUCCCUAAACAAAGUAAGUUUGUCUAUCCCUGACCUAAAUGGUCAGCAUUAUUUAAUUAGGAUAAUGUACCAAAUCUUUAACAUAACUUUUAAAAAAGCCUUGCAUAAUCUGGCCCCUUUCUCAAUUCAAACUCUCUUCCCCUCACCUUUGUGCUCCAGACACAGUGACAUUUUUAGAACUCCGAGGGGAGGGCUCGAGGAUCUCUCCAGAGCACACCAGGAGAGAGACUGUGUUUAUGUGAAUUUCUCACCCAUUAAACACUUUCCCCAAACCAUUGCCCAAAUCUGCCCACCUGGCUCCUACUCAUACUCUAAAGGUCACUUUCUCAGGGAACUGCUUCCUAAGUGAUACCUGUCCCGAAAAAUCACAUUCUUCAGUGACACAAUCUCGAGAACCCUGCUCCUUAUGCUACCUCAUGUUGUAUUAUACCCCUGUUAGCCUGAUUCUUUGAUUACAGUCUGCAUCCGCCUUAGGCUGCAAAGGUCUUUAAAGAAAGGAAAAGUCUGUCUUUUUGUUCGGUGUCUGUGCUUAAGACAUGGAGUAGGUGCUCAGGAAAAAAAAAAAAAAAAAAAAGUUGAAAGAAUAACUGGAUUUGUGGGAUACCCAGACUUAAUAUUUGAAGUUUUGAGUAUUCACAAGCAGUUCCAAUAAUUUGUUACAGACAUUCACUGGUAGUUCCCCUCAGGCUCUGCUUUGAAUCUCAAAAUUGUUUGGUUAAUGUGUAAGUUUAUUAGCUAGUCAGUGAAGCUGGGAGACACCCAAGAUACUUAUUUUAUCACAGCCUUGUGUCUCCAUUCUCAUCUUCUCUCAUUGAGUAAAUCAGGAAAUAUUUUUUUUAAUGGCUUCUUUUUAAAAAACCAGUUCCCCUUAACACAAAGUCAACUGACAGUGCUGAAGUUUCUUAACUAGAACAUUUGGGAUUGAUGUAAAAGUAAACCAUGGAUUCUACAGUAUUUCCAAUCUAGAAAGGGAAUGAAUCAAACAUUCUCUGAGGCAAACAAGAAAAGAAAAUUAAAGUCUUGAAGUUGUUUCAAUACAUUUUCUUCUUCUAUAAAACUAUUUAUGAAAAAGGUGGUAAAACUAGAGAGAGACUGAAAAUAAAGUAAUUUUGUGAAGUGAGAACAUAUUCAGAAAAUACUUGUCUCAACAGAAACCAAAUGCAGGUGAAAUGUAAAGUAGAUAUAAUCAUUCCUCUGAAGCGAGAGAGGCUGAAAGCAGCACUGAAACUAAUGAGCCAGCAUUUAUAGUAAGUAAAAGUUCACAUAGUUUAAGAAUUUCUCUUUCUCUUUCAAAAAGAAACAUUAAGAAGAGAGGCUGAAAGGUAAUCACAUAGCUACAUGAAGUUCUUUCUAACCAAAGGUGAUCUACAGAAAGGGGUUAUGGGCCAGAGUACAGGCCAGAAAAUGCAUUUAUCACAGGUAGCACUGGAAUAAGACACAUCUGUGAACAGAUCCAAAGAGAAUACAGCCAGAUACAAAUUAUGUCUUCUAUUCGGCUGCACAGAGCAGCUUUACUUCAUCAUCCCGGGAAUCCCAGUUUGGGGUUAUAAGAAUAAAAACUUAUAUCCAUAUAUUGCCAUUGAGUCACAAGGCUACUACACAAAUCAGUUUCAUAAAAGCUAUGUUUGAAGAAUAUCUUGCAACACAACCAUGAACCUUAACGUCUCAGACUUUCUUGGGAUUCACAUAUACUAGGAGGACAUUACAGUUUUGUUUUUUUUGUUUUUUUGUUUGUUUGUUUUUUGUCUUUUUGCUAUUUCUUGGGCCGCUCCCGCGGCAUAUGGAGUUUCCCAGGCUAGGGGUCUAAUCGGAGCUGUAGCUGCCAGCCUAUGCCAGAGCCACAGCAACGCGGGAUCUGAGCCGCGUCUGCAACCUACACCACAGCUCACGGCAACGCCGGAUCGUUAACCCACUGAGCAAGGGCAGGGACUGAACCCGCAACCUCAUGGUUCCUAGCCGGAUUCGUUAACCACUGUGCCACGACGGGAACUCCAGGACAUUACAGUUUUGAAGGUUCCAAGAUACAUUCCUCACAAGUUUCAACAGCAUUCACAUCAUACACUAUUCAUUGUGAUACACUACUAUAACAUAGUACGAAAUAUGGCAAAAUUCAUUUCUUUUGUUAUUGAUGUUUCUUUUAAAUAGAAAAAUCAAAAUGUAGAGUGCACCCUCAAGCAAAGCAUCUUCCUCUCUCAUGUUGAUCUUUUCCAGUGUUCCUAUUACUCCUUUUCAUCCUACAAACCUACACUGGGUGACUCUUUUCAACUGGUACUUAGAUACUUGCAUGUGAGUAUCUAUCAGGCACUGGAAAUAAAAUGGGGAAAAAAUCCAAAUGGAAAUUCUGGUUUCCUCCUGAAAUCUUUCUUUUAAUCAACUUAGACAACUGAGGGUCAUGCCUAACCUCUUUUUCUUCCUCACACUCUACACCUACAUCUAAUCAGUUAUCAGUUCUGAGUCAAACU